GCCUCACUAUUUUGCCCAGGCGGCUCUCAAGCUCCUGGCUUCAAGCAGUCCUCCCGCCUUGACCUCUCAAUGUGUUGGGACUGCAGCCGUGAGCCAAGAUGCCAGGCGUUUUUACUUAUCUUUAUGACUUUAUCUUUCAAAAUUACUAACACACAUUCCCUUUGACCCAGCCAUCCCACUUCCAGAAACAUCUGAUGACACUCCCACCAGUGCAAAUAAUCUGUGCAGGCGGCCAUUGCCUACGUGGUCGGUAACAGCAAACUACUCAGGUGCCCAUCUUAUGUACUCAUAAGAAAUAAUCUUCAAGGUGUAUUUCUAUGUGGAAAGAGAAGCUGCACAACAGUAUGCACAGCUUGUUACCAUUUAUGAAAAAAGAAGACAAACAUAUGUGCUUGUGUGUGUUUGUGCUCUGGAAGGGCUUGUGAGGAAAGGAUAACAUUGGCUGGGGAGGAGAGAUGGCUGGGUGGAUGUGGGCCCUGCGGACUUUUUAUUAAGAGAGAAGGAUCCUUCUCUCCUCCUGGCCAGUUAAGCCCAGCUCUGGAUGUACAGCCACAGGAGGCCAGCCUCUCCAACUGCAGUUUGCCCCAGACGAGGACAAACAUGGCCCCUGUUUCGUGGAGGAGUUGAGCAAUCACAUCAGACCUAGAACAAUGUGCAGAUGGGGGACCCCUGCACUCCCUGCCUCCACCAUCCAGGAAUGUGACCCACCCUGGGGCUUGGGGAUGACGCCUGCCAGCAUGCUUCAAAGGGCUCAAAAAAGUCCUGGUUCUAACAUGCAGCUAGUUCACUUUGGAAACUCAAUUAAUUCACAAGAUGAAAUGGCCAUAGAGAUUUCUACAUGAAAAAAAAGGGAAUGUAAAAUCAAAAGAUCACUAUGACCAAAAUACCUGACAGAAGAGAAAAACAACCAAGAUGCUACUGAGGUUUUUGGUUUGUUUGGAGAGAUAGGGAUCUUGCUAUGUUGCCCAGGCUGCUCAAACUCCUGGCCUCAAAGUGAUCCUCCCACUUCGGCCUCCCAGAGUGCCUGACAAGACUGCUAUCCUGUUGGAAGAGCUCCGGACCUGGCUUGGAGAUGUAGGCUUCCUCUGGAUUCUGCUGUCACCGACGGCUCUCGGGUUUCACCCAGGUGAGCUCUGGAGUCCUUCCCGUGUUGCCUCAGCGGAUCCCAGACAGCUCUGUGUCCAAAGAGCCCCUCUCCGGCUGUCAGCGCUGUGUCCCCCAGAACUGCACAGUGCCCAGGGGGCUCACUGGGGCAGUUCCAAUUCCUAGGCCCAGAUGCAUGGGUUGAAUCAUGUCCCCGCUAAAAGAUGCUGAAGUCUUAACUCCCAGUAUCUGUGAAUGUGAAAUAGGGUCUUUGCGAGGACCUAUUUGCAAAGGGAGCCUGAGGACCUGAGGGAACCUUGACUGUCGCUAUGCCCCGACGUGGUGGGAACCCUCCUGACCACUGAGUUGAGGGCCUGGGCCAUUGUGAAGGACCAGCCUUGCGAGGCACCUGUGGGAGAACUCAUAGAUGGACAGCAGAAGGACAGGUGGAGGAUGGACGCCCGGCCGGAGGCCCUGCAGCACCCGUGGUGGCUUCUCCUGUGCUUUCUGCCCUGGUCCUCGGGUUGCCGUGAGUUGGCAAAGACGCACACACGCACAGCCCAUGGAGCUCGCCAGGUGUUCACGUGUUACUUCCACAAACAAGUCCCGGUGGCACCGAGCCAGGCUCCAGGGCACAGGGGAAAGCACUGAGUGUGGACUUAGAGCCAGCUCCACCCAUCCAUGCUUGGGGGGCCUUGGGGAGGUGGUCAACUUCCUGGAGCUCUGGACUCCCCCCUGAAUAACGGAAGGCCGCGUGGUCGUGAUGAUGAAGAGGAGGCCUGGGGCACCCGGCCAAACCGCAUGUGGCUCCUUCACCAUGCAGCUUUUCCAGGACCUCCUGUGUGUCAGAGAGAGUGCAGACAGUGAACAAAACUCAUACAGUCCCUGCCUCGGGGGUCGACGCCACAUGGGGAGCACGGCGGUGAGGAGGAGAGGGGAGGUGGCUCAUAGGCGGGGCAAGGAUCUGGGGGUGGCUGCCCCAGAGAACCCCCAAACUGAUAGAACUUGGCAAGUGUCCUAGGAGCGCUUAUGAGGACAAGGAAUAACUGGUUCUCCGGGAAGGGAGGGAUGGGGGUGGGGCACCUGGGAGGUUGAGCUAAGCUGCAGAGCGGGGAAUGACCUCUCAGCCCCUCCAGCUCCCGCGGUCAGGCCAGUGAGUGGCAAAACUUCUAGACAAGCAGCUGCAGCAGGUUGCCUGAGGCUCCCAGGCAGCGUGAGGGCCACACCCAGCCCAGGGCCAGACCUCUCCGAGUCUGCAGAACCAGGCAGAGGUUGACCCACAGGGCUGUCCCGCUCCGCGCUAUGUCCCCCAGAGCACUGAGACUCAAGAUGGGGCACCCACAAACCCUGCACACCUCCGCUUGGUCAGUCCUAGGCUUCAAAAGGGCGCCCAUUUUCCCAUCCCUUCAUCAGCUCAGCUGCUCUCAAGGCUUUCUACUGUCCGCACUCCUCUUAACUUGUGGCAUUCUUGCAGCGGUUUGUCUAAGGCAUCUCUAGUUCAGCCUCCUGUCUGAUGCUGUAAUAGCAGCAGCGCACGUGCAGAAUGGACCGGUGCAUGAGAAGGCUUCAUUCUGCACCUGCUUGUCCUCACUCCUCACUCCUUUCAGCUGAAACGUGAUGACGUUCCUCCUGGCAGUGUGUCCGUGUGUGGUUUAAGGGGAUGGCAUCGUACUCCUCUCUGGCAUGUGGCCAGAGAGAACCAGCUGUGAGCAGAAUGAGACAGCUGCUGCUAUGGCCUCAACUGUGCCUCCCCCAAAUUCCCAUGUUGAAGUCCUAACCCCAGGUCCCUCAGAAUGGGACUGUACUUGGAGACAGAGUCUUUAAAGAAGUCAUUAAGUUAAAAUGAGGUCACCAGGGUGGGCCCUAAUCCAGUUUGACUGGUGUCCUUAUAAGAAGAGAUGAGGACACAGACACACAGGGGAAACCGUGUGAAGACACAGCGAGAUGGUGGCCAUCUGCAAUCCCAGGAGAGAGGCCUCUGAAGGAACCAACCCUGCCAACACCCAACCCUGCCAAUACCUUGGACUUCUGGCCUCCAGACCAUGAGAAAACAGAGUUCCGCAGCAUAAGUGCCCAGUGUGCAGUCCCGUGUUACAGCAGCACAGCAGCCACCCUUGGGGAACUGACCUGCGGCUGACAAACGUGUGUUAUCGGUGUCUAUGGGGCAGGAGUGAUGCCAGGCGCCUGACCUGCUCUCCGCAGGGACAGUCAGAAGCAGCACCCAUGGCCUGUGGGGCCCAUUUUGUCAGACACUUUACCUAUUAGUCAUGCUUCACCACAAGUAAACCAACCCUGGGAGAGCCCCAGAGCCUCUGAGAGGAAAAGCCAGGGCUCAGACCAGGCGGUCCGGCUGCCCUCCCCAGGCCUUGCAUGGGCAGCAGAGGGGAGGCUGGGCCGGGCAAGGGUGAUGUGGUGAUGGACACAUUGUUGGCUAAUGGCAGGCCCUUUCUGCCUGAUUUGCACCCCUGCAUUUUUCAUUAUCAAAAUGAGCCACCUUCUGUGAAGUUGUAGGCCCUGGGAGCUGAGGAUCACUGCCUUAAGAAUCCACUCACCUCAAUGAAAAUCAAAUCACUGCUCAGAACGAAGGGAGCAAUUUAUCCCAGAAUGGAUCUGUGAUUUCUGUUCUUACCGAUCCCAUUGGACUGCCAAACUCAUAACACUUAUCUGCCUGAAAUCACAGAUGUGUAUAGAAAGGGAGGUACCAGAUCAGGGGCAGUGCCAAACCCAGUGAGCACACUGUAAGAAGAUAACAGGCGGAGUGCAUCAUGGUCUGCUGGGGAGAAGCUCCCUGCAUUCCCAGCACCUUCCUGCAUGUGCCAGAGGGCAGAUGUGUGUGCCUGCGGCCCCCUGCCUCACUCAGCACCUCCUCUGGAAGUGCUUCCUACCCUUCGUCCUCUCCCAGGUGACCCAGCUGGGCCUGGCACAGGGAGGGUGUCUGUGUUGGGUGAAUGGACACUCUUGCUGUGGUUGCAGUUGCUGUGUAUACACACAUGCACAAGCACCUGCUUUAAGGUUUGGCUAACUUCAGAGGCAGGGAGGUUUGGACAAAGCUGGUAUCCCAGUGUGACCCAUUUUCGGAAUGCAAGGGAGAGAAUUCAAGCCUCACAGAGAGGAGUGACACCAGCCAGGAACCUCUGAGCUGUGUCCCAGGAGCCCAAGGGACCUUCCUAAGGCUUUGGGGGUCCACAGGAUGGGCAGGGGAGGAGGAAGGACUCUGGGCCUCCGGGCCCAGCACUGACCGGAGCAGCAACCCUCUGAGCUGUUUCUGCAUCCAUUCUCCUUUAAAGAAAGGAUUCUGCUGACACAAGCAAAGUCUGGUGCCAAGACCUGCUCAUCCUAAGUUUCUAGGUCUAGCAGCAUAAACACAACAGAAGAAUGCGGAGGCAGAAGAGUGUAGGGACCCCCAAAUAGUACAAUACCUUUGCCCCUUCAUUUUGAAAAAAUCCCCACCCCAACAAGGAGAACAAGAAAAAGAAAAGAAAGGCUGAGCCUAUGACCUUGAUCACAUCCACAAGGCGGUAUCUAUGUCCCCAAGCCCCAACACAUAUCAGCGGGAAGUGGGCAGGGAGAUGGCAAAUAGCUGAGCAGGGAGGGGGGCCAGGGAAGAGAAACAGGGCAACUAGGGCCCCAACAUUCCAGAAGGGUCAGGGAUAGGGGGUCCCCAGAGUCUCAAGAGGUGUGGGAGGCAGAGUCUGAAGGAAUGUGCAAGAAUACAGCCUGUGCCGAGACCAUGUGCUCCUCUUACCCUGUUGCCUUUUCUUCCAGGGCACACAGCUGGACUACAUUUCCCAGCCUCCCUUGCAGCCAGGUGGCACCAUGUGACUACACUCUGGCCAAUGGGAUGUGGACAGAGUGAUGACCACACUUUUGGCCUGGGCCUCCAUAACUCUCAGGGCAGCCCUUGCUCCACGUGCCCUUUCCUGCCCGUCCUUCCUGGGCACCUGGAAGCAGAAUAUCCAGGGGAAGACUUGGAGGCCCCAGAAGGCACAGACCCUAAAGCAUUUCUCAACCACACUUUCUCAUCUGAACCACAGCCCACAGUCAAUGACUGGCGUGCCCAUUUCCCCAACCGGUCAUGCGCCUAAAGAGGGUGCAUAACUGGCUUCGUUCCAGGUGUGCAGGAGGAAAGUUAUUCCCUGCACGCCAUGAUGCCUUCGCUGUGAGUCCUUGAUUCCCUCCUGGAAUCUGGCCGAGAAAGGCUGUGAGACGAAAGACCCACUAAAAAGAAGAACCUUAAGUCCUUGCGUGACUGCGUAGAAUAGAACCUUCAUCUCCUGCGGUGACAUCCCACUGCCACACAUCAGGAAACACCACUUCAUCGGGCCAGGCAGAGAUUGGCACUUGCUUCUUACAGCAAUUAGCCAUCCCUGACCAACAGAGAGCCCUGUCCUGCGCCUCAGCAGUCAGGUAACCACCCCUACCCCAACCCCAUCUCCCAAGCGGGGCCGGGGAGGAGUCUUCUCUGGAAAGACGCGGGACAGGAGAACAACAGGCCCAGAGGAAGGCUGGUGAGGAACCCACAGAAGAUGAGUGAGUUGAGGGAAGUCCGGCCUCUCCAGUCUACCUCCCCGCCCUGAGCAAGCGGGUAGCCAGCCGGGAUCAGCCCCCCAGCAGGGGACUGGAGGACCUUUCUCCAGGGAAGUGGAAACUUCAGCCUGUCCUUGGGGCCUGGUGCCCGGCUGGGUGCUCGGUGUAUUCCAGGCUGUCGGGCCCUCUGAGUGCCGAAUCCUGGGCUGAGCGCUGGGAUGUCCGUCCCCAGUCACCAGCUCCCUGAGGGGCUUGAGUUAUGGUGUAGGUGUGCCCAGGAUGGGGCAUAAAAAGUGAAUAAAGUGGGGCUCCAGAGGAGUCACUCAUUCCCGGGGUACUCAGCGGCUUGCCUAGAACAAUGGCAUUUGGAAUCACAACUGAAUGACAAGGAGGAUUUCAAAGGCUGCAGGAGGCCCAGUCCCCGUAGGCCACAUCCAGGGGAGGACGCAGUGAAGAUUCUAGGAGCUGGGAAAGUGGGGUCACUCCUGGCUAAGUCACUCCUAGCUCCACCUUAGGGACAAGGGACCGAGGCUUUGGUGGAGUGGUGGGCUGUGGACCCAGCAGCUCUGAGUGGAGAGCCCACCUCCUUCCCGUUGUCCUGUAACCUCCCCUGGGCCCUUUCCGUGCCAAGACCGUGCCAAGACCACAAGCAGCCGCAGAGGCCACCCAGGGUGCUGCCGGCUGGUGUCCAGCGCUCUCCUCACCCUUAGACUUGCUCGCCAGGACAGCUUCGCAAGAUGGCCUCCCCUCUGAAACUGGUAAAUGGAGCCCCUGAAUGCCAAAUGAAGGUGACGGCCGCAUACACGCUCCCAGUCACUCACUGGGAUGGCCAGUGUAUGCUUAUUAACAAGGGCCCAGAUGAAACAUGAAUCUGAAGGACCUCAUGUUAGCUCUCUCCCGGAGGCUGUCGGGCCCGACGCAGGCUGCCUCACAAGAAGCGGGGGGCGGGGGCGUGCUGCAUGCCACUGUGACCCCUCUGUCAUUCAUUAAGCAAAGGAGCCAACCUUAUUGGUGCUUGGCUGUCUAGUAAGACGACUGAGAAAAAUCUAGCCUUUCUGCAGAGACGGAAAGCCACCACUCACGUUUCCCGGCAGAAACGGCCACCUGGCUCCAGUAAUUAGGCAAACCCAGCCUUUAUUUCUCAGGAAGUCUUACUUUCAUCUCCGAGGAGGAUGGUAGGGUAUGGAAUGGGGGACCCAGGGGAGGGCAGUGUAUUUGAGAGCAGAGCCAUCUCCUGCUUGGCUUAAAAAGAUUCACAUUCAAGCAGCACUCGGAUCAAACUAGUAACAGUUGUCUGAGGGCAUCAGAGAUGAUGUUUGAAUUCACGGUGAUGGAAACACGGGAGAGGGAGUUAAUGCGUCACUCAGAGCCACCUCUCUGAUUCUCAGUUACCCUGUUAUUGUUCUUAAUCUGCUAAAUUGUAAAAAAAAAAAAAAAAAA